rnacentral:rRNA from 1 species
CCUACGGGAGGCAGCAGUGAGGAAUAUUGGUCAAUGGACGCAAGUCUGAACCAGCCAUGCCGCGUGCAGGAUGACGGCUCUAUGAGUUGUAAACUGCUUUUGUACGAGGGUAAUAUCAGAUACGUGUAUCUGCUUGAAAGUAUCGUACGAAUAAGGAUCGGCUAACUCCGUGCCAGCAGCCGCGGUAAUACGGAGGAUCCAAGCGUUAUCCGGAUUUAUUGGGUUUAAAGGGUGCGUAGGCGGUUUUAUAAGUUAGAGGUGAAAAUUCGGGGCUCAACUCCGGACGUGCCUCUAAUACUGUAUGACUAGAGAAUAGAUGCGGUAGGCGGAAUGUAUGGUGUAGCGGUGAAAUGCAUAGAUAUCACGCAGAACUCCGAUUGCGAAGGCAGCAUACCGGCGCGCAACUGACGCUCAUGCACGAAAGCGUGGGUAUCGAACAGGAUUAGAUACCCCAGUAGUC